AUAGAAAAUAUGUCCAAAGCUAGAAUAUAGUGUCUAUAGUUUCUUCUACAUAUUUAAUAGUUUUGGGUGUUACAUCCAGGUCUUUAAUUUGUUUUGAAUUAAUUUUUGUAUAUACAGCUAAAGAAUGUUGCAUUUUUAUUAUUUUGCAUUGGUUAUUCAGUUUCUCCAACACUAUUUCUUAAAGAUUUAAAUGUUUGAAUGUGGUUUUCUCUUUUCAUCUAUUUUUUUUCCACUUCUUCUCCUCUCAAUUCACAAAGGAAAAGCAUAUUCUCACCUAUCCAAAAUCAUGGUAUAUUAUCAUGGGGAUUCAAAUAUCUCUAGAGGUACCAAAGAGACAAAGGUGCUAUAAAUCAGAGGUGAGAUUUUGUGUCUUUUCCUAUCUAAUACUUGUGGGUAUCAGGAGUUAUGUUAGGUAUUAGAAUGAAUCUGUUGACUAAUGUUGAGAUGUUCAGAGUUGUAAUAUAUUAUAGAAAGAUAGGGCAAAAUUUGUGGCAUUUUUCAUCUUAAAGAUCUUGUUUUUAUUAUAUGCAAAUACUUGACUCUUGAAGAAGAGUUCUACAAGAAUAAGGCAUGGCCCAGGAAGUUUAUGGGAAAUAAAGCCUUGAACUUGAAAAAACAACAGUAACCAAGAUAACCAGAUCCUGAGCAAUGAAUUGAAGAUUUCCACACACCCCCCAAGCUUGCUGCAUCUGCUUCUGUGAUAACACUUUCUGCUCUCAGCCCACAGCCCCCUCUAGAAGCUUUGACUUUCCCUUUGAUUGGAGCCCAGAAUUCUUUUUUUUUUUUUUAUCUAAGAAAGAAUAAAUUAACAAAACCAUAGGGUAGGAGGAGUACAACUCCACACAAUUCCCACCACCCAAUCUCCAUAUCCCAUCCCCUCCCCUGAUAGCUUUCCCAUUCUCUAUCCCUCUGGGAGUAUGGACCCAGGGUCAUUGUGGGUUGCAGAAGGUGGAAGGUCUGGCUUCUGUAAUUGCUUCCCCACUGAACAGAAUUCUUUUAAGAUCAUGAGCUCUUUCUGUGGCCCAUUAGCAUCAACAAACUGUGUUCUUGAUGACAGAAGACCUAGUGAGGGUUGUAUUGUUAUGUGGAAAACUGAGAAAUGCUAUGUCAUGUACAAACUAUUGUAUUUACUAUCAAAUGUAAAACAUUAAUCCCCCAAUAAAGGAAAACAAUAAUAAACUGUGUUCUCCUCACA